UAUUAUUUGACGUGUAAAAUUAAAUACCUGAGUAGUAAUAGUUAUGGUCUUGAAACUCAAAGAAUUUGGCGGUGUUUUAGUCCUUUCAGAGGAAUCUGUCCUGUAAUUGAUAGUACACGAUUUUAUUUACUUAAUUUGGUUGAUCAGUUUAUAUACCGCCGUCGUAAGAUUAUCUUGUGGAGAGUUUAAAAUUUCUUUAUCUAUUAUUAUAGAAUAUGUCAGGUCAAGGUGUAGCUAAUGGUUAAGUAGAGAUGGAUUACAAUAAAUAUAUUUAUUAUGGAUAAUUGAUUUUAUUUAAAUUAGAAGGUGGAUUUGAUUGUAAAUUAGUUGAAAUUGAUUUUUUGAUUAUGGCUCUAAAACGUGCACACAUCGCCCGUCGCUCUCGUUUUAAGAUGAG
rnacentral:rRNA from 1 species